rnacentral:rRNA from 1 species
GAUGAACGCUGGCGGCGUGCUUAACACAUGCAAGUCGGACGGAAAGGCCCAAUCUUGCUUGGGUACUCGAGUGGCGAACGGGUGAGUAACACGUGGGUGAUCUGCCCUGCACUUCGGGAUAAUCCUGGGAAACUGGGUCUAAUAGCGGAUAGGACCACAUUUGGGAAGGUGUGGUGGAAAGUUUUUCGGUGUGGGAUGAGCUCGCGGCCUAUCAGCUUGUUGGUGGGGUAAUGGCCUACCAAGGCGUCGACGGGUAGCCGGCCUGAGAGGGUGUACGGCCACAUUGGGACUGAGAUGCGGCCGAGACUACUCCGGGAGGCAGCAGUGGGGAAUAAUGCACCAUGGGCGCAAAAAUGAUGCAGCAACGCCGCGUGGGGGAUGAAGGACUUCGGGUUGUCAAGUCCUUCCGCUAGGGGAGAAGCGAAAGUGACGGUACCUGGAGAAGAAGCACCGGCUAACUCCGUG